AUGAUCCUACAGGCUUUUCCCAACCUUAAUAAUUCCACAAUUCAGAGCUCCACAUUGGCCACUUUAGCCAAAGCCAGGACGCUGGGGCAGGGGGGAAGCAGAGCCACCUUCACCAGGCAGGGUUUGGUUUGCUUUCAGUUUGGGAUUUUUUUUUGUUACAAUUUUUUCUCUGUUUUUUCUCUCUCUGCAGGUUUGCAGUGGAAAAGGAGGAGCUCCCAGAGCAGCAGCAGGAGAUUCAAACCCUCCAGAUUCAGCCUUAAAUCAGGAACAAAACUCUUCCUGACCCUCCUUUUCCCUGGAAUGUCCCAAAUAUCCCCCUGGCAGCAGGAGCUGGGCUGGGCUGGGUUGAGGAUCUGCACAGAGCAAACAAAGCAACAGAGAGCUCCAGAGUGAAAAUGCCGCGAGGAAUCACAAAUCAAGACUACUCACUUGAACUCAGCCUAAAGUGAAGCUUCAAAAAGCCUGGAGGGGAGUGCAGAUUACAAAGGAAUCCCACCUGGUCUGGGCAUUCCAAGGAGAGCUUUUCCCCUGCUGGAGCCUGGCAUCUGGGGUGCAGUGCUGGAGGAGAGCCUGGAAGCUUCCAGUUAAAUUAUUCCUGAGUUUGUGCAGGGUGGGGUUAGCCCUGGCCUCCAAGAGGAGCCACUUUGCCUCGGUGAGUUUUCCUCCUGCAAGUAAAGAUCAAAGGGUUGGAAUUUCUCAUGGAAUGGUUGGGCUGGGAGGAUCCUAAAGCCCAUCCCUGUCCCAUGGCAGGGACAGCUCCCACUGUCCCAGCCCAGCCCUAGGCACUGCCAGGGACCCAGGACAGCCCCAGCUGCUCUGGGAAUUCCAGCCCAGCCCCUCCCCACCCUCACAGGGAACAAUUCCUCCCCAAAAUCCAAUUUAAAGCUUUUCUCUGCCAGUUUAAAGCCUUCCCCCCUUGUCCUCUCCUGACACCUCCCACCAGACCAGGCUUUCCCAAAGCCACCAAACUGGCCUUGAUUUCUGGCACUGCCAAACAUGAAACCGUGCUACCUCUUCUUCCUUUUCCUUUUCAGUGAAAAAAACAACCCCAUUUUCUUCUCUUGCUGCUUUUCCUGCUGGUUUGCUGCCCGUGCCCCGGAGUGUCUGAGAGAUUUCCCUCCUGGAGAAGGACCCUGGGCUGGAGGGAGCCCCACACCCACAGGUAACUGCUGCCAGGGCGUUUUCACAGAACCACAGAAUAAUAGAACCACAGAAUCGCAGAGCCACAGAAUCCCAGAAUAAUAGAAUCACAGAAUCAACAAUCACAGAAUCACAGAAUCACAGAAUCACAGAAUCACAGAAUCACAGAAUCACAGAAUCACUGAAUAAUAGAACCACAAAAUCACAGAAUCACAGAAUCCCAGAAUCACAGAACCACAGAACCACAGAGUAA
rnacentral:lncRNA from 1 species